GAUGAACGCUGGCGGCGUGCCUAAUACAUGCAAGUCGAGCGAACGGACGAGAAGCUUGCUUCUCUGAUGUUAGCGGCGGACGGGUGAGUAACACGUGGAUAACCUACCUAUAAGACUGGGAUAACUUCGGGAAACCGUAGCUAAUACCGGAUAAUAUUUUGAACCGCAUGGUUCAAAAGUGAAAGACGGUCUUGCUGUCACUUAUAGAUGGAUCCGCGCUGCAUUAGCUAGUUGGUAAGGUAACGGCUUACCAAGGCAACGAUGCAUAGCCGACCUGAGAGGGUGAUCGGCCACACUGGAACUGAGACACGGUCCAGACUCCUACGGGAGGCAGCAGUAGGGAAUCUUCCGCAAUGGGCGAAAGCCUGACGGAGCAACGCCGCGUGAGUGAUGAGGGUCUUCGGAUCGUAAAACUCUGUUAUUAGGGAAGAACAUAUGUGUAAGUAACUGUGCACAUCUUGACGGUACCUAAUCAGAAAGCCACGGCUAACUACGUGCCAGCAGCCGCGGUAAUACGUAGGUGGCAAGCGUUAUCCGGAAUUAUUGGGCGUAAAGCGCGCGUAGGCGGUUUUUUAAGUCUGAUGUGAAAGCCCACGGCUCAACCGUGGAGGGUCAUUGGAAACUGGAAAACUUGAGUGCAGAAGAGGAAAGUGGAAUUCCAUGUGUAGCGGUGAAAUGCGCAGAGAUAUGGAGGAACACCAGUGGCGAAGGCGACUUUCUGGUCUGUAACUGACGCUGAUGUGCGAAAGCGUGGGGAUCAAACAGGAUUAGAUACCCUGGUAGUCCACGCCGUAAACGAUGAGUGCUAAGUGUUAGGGGGUUUCCGCCCCUUAGUGCUGCAGCUAACGCAUUAAGCACUCCGCCUGGGGAGUACGACCGUAAGGUUGAAACUCAAAGGAAUUGACGGGGACCCGCACAAGCGGUGGAGCAUGUGGUUUAAUUCGAAGCAACGCGAAGAACCUUACCAAAUCUUGACAUCCUUUGACAACUCUAGAGAUAGAGCCUUCCCCUUCGGGGGACAAAGUGACAGGUGGUGCAUGGUUGUCGUCAGCUCGUGUCGUGAGAUGUUGGGUUAAGUCCCGCAACGAGCGCAACCCUUAAGCUUAGUUGCCAUCAUUAAGUUGGGCACUCUAAGUUGACUGCCGGUGACAAACCGGAGGAAGGUGGGGAUGACGUCAAAUCAUCAUGCCCCUUAUGAUUUGGGCUACACACGUGCUACAAUGGACAAUACAAAGGGCAGCGAAACCGCGAGGUCAAGCAAAUCCCAUAAAGUUGUUCUCAGUUCGGAUUGUAGUCUGCAACUCGACUACAUGAAGCUGGAAUCGCUAGUAAUCGUAGAUCAGCAUGCUACGGUGAAUACGUUCCCGGGUCU
rnacentral:rRNA from 1 species